GGCCCCUCACUGCAAGAAAGACAUCGAGGCCCUGGAGCGUGUCCAGAGGAGGGCAACAAAGCUGGUGAGGGGUCUGGAGCACAGGCCUUAUGAAGAGCGGCUGAAGGAGCUGGGAUUGUUCAGUCUGGAGAAGAGGAGGCUCAGGGGAGACCUUAUUGCUCUCUAUAACUACCUGAAGGGAGGUUGUAGUGAGCUGGGGGUCAGCCUCUUCUCUCGGGUGACUAGUGAUAGGACUAGAGGGAAUGGCUUCAAGCUGCGCCAGGGAAGAUUCAGGCUGGACAUUAG
rnacentral:lncRNA from 1 species